rnacentral:tRNA from 2 species
GGGGCUAUAGCUCAGCUGGGAGAGCGCUUGAAUCGCACUCAAGAGGUCACCGGUUCAAAUCCGGUUAGCUCCA